GUUCAUGUAGCUUAUUUACAAAGCAAGGCACUGAAAAUGCCUAGAAGAA
rnacentral:tRNA from 1 species